CGCGCAGCCGUCUUGAGCGGGUAUGGAAAAGCACGGAAAACUGACACACACCAGCCUGCCAGGCGUAGAAUAAGCAUUCAUUCACACACACAGACAGGCACAGAGACACAUCAUAGACGGCGAAGACACAAACAGAGCGCGACUGCUACAACGUGCACCAGCACACACUCAAGCGCCACGCAAUGGACGCAGUGCCAGCUGAUCAUGGCAUCAAGCGGCCCCGUGAAGCGAAUUCACCGGGUCACACGCCACCCUUUGUGUCCGCGAACGACGUGGCCGCGUCCCUUCAGGAACAGGCGCAGCGCUUCAUCUCGCAGCUCGAAAUGGGCGAAGUUCUCGAGCACGACCGCGACACGACCGAGGCGGUCAUGACAGGCACCGAUGAGUCCGCGCAGUGGGCGUACGGCAGUGAGUACUACCUUCGCCACGAUGGAGAAGAUGACAAGGAGCACCCAUCGCGCUCUCACACCGCGGGCAGCACCGCCGCCGCUGCGGCGGCACAAGAGAGCGCCAGCGACGCUCAAGCGGACAAGGCCCGCAAGGUCGUCGUCAGCCUAACUGUGGCGCCUCCGUCCUUCUUCACGUCUGGGAACGAUUUCGAAACGAGCGUGCUGUCGCGCAGGUCGGCAGCAGCAGCAAAUAAGGAUGACGAUGACGACGGCGGAGACCUCGACAGACGCGGCGGAUUCGUCGCCUCCCGCUUCCUGCACGAGGCUUUGCGGACGUCUGACGUCGACAUCAUCGUACCGGUUGUCAGCCACUCGUGCAGCCUCGCCGUGAGCGCCUCGAAGGGUAGCCAGACGCUCGCGGAACUCAAGCGGCUGAUGGAUCGCGAACGCACGAACCGCGACGUCAUGGACACGUCCAAGUCGAGUCUUACACAGCUCUUGCAAAAAGAUACGUACGGGCGUAUGGUGAAUGGCGAAGAAAAGGGAGUGGCGGGGGUGGGGAGUGGUUCUGCCCCCGGCCACGCGCACAGCGGCAGCGUCUCCUCCUUCACCGACGACCGCCGCAACGAUAAUGGCGAGGAGGAAGAGGCCAAGUACCUCAUGCGUCAGCUGCGCUUGGAGCAGGAGCGGCUCGCUGAUAUGGCACGGCUUCGUGGCGCGUCGGAUGCCUCCAGCACUGCCCCACCCCCUGCGGCUGGAGGGGCAAACUCGCAGUGGGGCAGCAGCCAGGAGAGCCGCCGGCAGCGCAAGGACGAGCAACUCGCCCGCAUCGAGGGGCGCAAGGCGCAGAUGGAGACACUCGCUGAUGACGCGGAUGAGGUGGAGCGCCGAGAUGCCAUGCGCCGCCAGCGCGAGUCGCUGCCCAUCCACCACUGCAAAGAUGAGCUCCUACGCUACAUUGGCGAGAGUGCCGUCACCGUGGUUGUGGGCGAAACCGGCAGCGGCAAAACGACCCAGCUCGUCCAGUACCUGUAUCAGCGCGGCUACGCGCGGCACGGCAAGAUAAUCGGGUGCACGCAGCCGCGGCGGUUAGCCGCCAUCGGGGUGGCUCGCCGUGUCAGCGACGAAAUGGGCUGCGCGCUCGGCACCACGGUCGGCUAUUCGAUCCACCUCGACGACACGACCACGGCCGACACGCGCGUGAAAUUUAUGACGGACGGCGUGCUGCUCCGCGAGACCGUCAACGACCCGUCACUGGACAAGUACAGCGUCGUGAUGCUGGACGAGGCCCAUGAAAGGUCAGUGGACACGGACGUGCUGAUGGGCGUGCUGAAGCUCGCCCUACGGCGCCGUGGAGACCUGAAGCUUAUCGUCACCUCUGCCACGAUGGACGUCCGCAAGUUCUCUGCCUUCUUCGGCAACGCGCCGUGCUACGAGAUUCCGGGGCAGACCUUUCCGGUGAAGAUCCACUACAGUCCGACGCCGGUGGCCGACUACGUCGCCGAGGCCGUGUUUCGUGUGUGCCAGUUGCACCUGCAGAUGCCGCUGGAGGCCAAGCACGAUAUCCUUGUCUUCAUGACAGGGCGGGAGGACGUCUAUGGAACGUGCGAGCUGAUUCGUCGUCGGCUAGCGGAGCUCAGCCCACAGCAUCUCAGCACACUCCUCAUCAUGUCGUGUCUCUCAGAGGCGGCCUCGGCGUGGUCCACGGAGAUCGGGGUGCUUGAUGCCACGCCAGCGGGCCUGCGCAAGGUUGUGGUCGCCACCAACGUCGCCGAGACGUCGCUGACGAUCGAUGGCGUGCGCUACGUCGUGGACUGUGGCUUCAUGAAGACGAACGUGUAUCGGCCGUCGAUUGGCAUGAACACGCUGCAGCGGUACCCCACCUCUCAGGCGCAGGCGAACCAGCGCAAAGGCCGCGCCGGCCGCACCACCGAAGGGACGUGCUACCGCCUCUAUACAGAGGAGCAGUACGCCGAGGAAAUGCUACCGAACAGCGUUCCAGAGAUUCAGCGCAGCAGCGUGGACAGCGUGGUGCUGCUGCUAAAAAGCAUCGGCGUUCACCGUCUUUGCGACUUCGACUUCAUGGACGCUCCGCCGGCAGCUAACGUGCGGAGCAGCAUGUUUCACUUGUGGGUGCUCGGCUUCCUUGACGACGCCGGCGCCAUCACAGAGCAAGGGCAGCAGGCGCUGGAGUUCCCGAUGUCCCCUGUGCUGGCGAAGCUCCUGUUGGAAAGCGCGAAGAUGGGGUGCGCGCUGGAGAUGGCCCGCAUCGUCGCCAUGAUUUCUGCCGACCCAAAGAACCUCUUUGAGCUCCCCAAGGGCCGCGAGAAGGUGGCGCAGCAGCACCAUAGCCGCUUUUACUCAAACGACUCGGACCACCUGACGCUGCUGCACGUCUUUACGCAGUACCUGGGCCAUGGUCGGUCGCGGCAAUGGGCGCAGGACCACUUCCUGCACUCCCCCACUCUCGCCAGGGCCAACGACGUGUUUGCGCAGCUGAUUGAGAAGCUGCGCAAGGUGCAUCUGCCCAUCCAAUCCUGCGGCCACGCGGAAACGGACAAGGUUCGCCACUGCCUCGCCAAAGCCUUUGCCCUGCAGGCAGCGCGACGAUCAGAUCGGCGGUGGACGGAAUAUCGGCCGCUGCUGAACGCUGGCGUGGCGUGCGAGGUGCACCCGGCCUCCGCAGUUCACGCGCGGAGCGAGAUGCCGCCCUACAUCAUCUACAAUGAUCUGCUGCUCACACACAAGGAGUACUUGGUGAUGGUGACGGCGGUGGAGCCAGAGUGGCUGGUGGAGAGCUCACGGGGCAUCUACGAAAUGCGUCAUGGGGUGACGUCGUCAUCGACAACGACGGCGCCCUCGUCGUUUGCGGUGGCGGUGACAACGACUCCGACGCCCUUCACAGCCUCCCGAGCAUCCCGUGCAUCGAUGUCUUCGUCGCCGACAGCGCCCAGUGCCAGCGGGAGCAGCACGAAAGUCUGUGCGGAAACCAAGGCUCCGACGAAGAAGCCCGCGUUCGGGAUGCUGUCCUCCAAGCGCCGGCCAAACAUCUAACAGUACCUCUUAUGUUUCACGCAAUCUGGUUGUUUCUCGGGGUGUGUGUGCGUGUGUCACGCGAGACAGCCGUAGCGGCAUACAGCUCCUGUGCAGCUGAGUACGCAUCUCUGUGUGUCUGUGCCUGGGAGGAGGAAAGGGACGUCUCUCGCCGGCCACACCCCUUCUUCUCGACGCCAGGGCACGCUGGCGUGGAGACGGUGGCGGAGACAGUGUUGCGUCCACACGCAUGCACGCAUCUGACAAGUCAACCCCUCACACAAACAAAAAAAGGAGAAGGGAGUCACUGAGUCCGCAGAAGCGUCCGCAGUUGCGCGUACACCCGCAUGCCGUUGCUUGCACAGGCACCUACACAUCUGCAGCGGCCCCGCAUCCUUCAUGACGAGGAAAGGGACUAAGAGAAAGACAGAGAAACUUCGCGCGCAGUCGGCAUGACGCUCCGCCCCGUCUUUCUUUC
rnacentral:misc_RNA from 1 species